rnacentral:rRNA from 1 species
AGAUUGAACGCUGGCGGCGUGCCUAACACAUGCAAGUCGAGCGGUAACAGGUGUAGCAAUACAUGCUGACGAGCGGCGAACGGGUGAGUAAUGCUUCGGAAUCUACCUUAUGGUGGGGAAUAACUAGCCGAAAGGUUAGCUAAUACCGCAUACGUCCUACGGGAGAAAGCAGGGGAUCGCAAGACCUUGCGCCAAAAGAUGAGCCGAAGUCGGAUUGGCUAGUUGGUAGGGUAACGGCCUACCAAGGCGACGAUCCGUAGCUGGUCUGAGAGGACGACCAGCCACACUGGAACUGAGACACGGUCCAGACUCCUACGGGAGGCAGCAGUGGGGAAUAUUGGACAAUGGGGGAAACCCUGAUCCAGCGACGCCGCGUGCGUGAAGAAGGCCUGCGGGUUGUAAAGCACUUUAGUGGGAUGAAAUGUGCAGAGCUAAUACCUCUGUACUUUGACCUAACCCACAAGAAAAAGCAACCGGCUAACCCUGUGCCAGCAGCCG